rnacentral:rRNA from 1 species
UACGUAGGGGGCAAGCGUUGUCCGGAUUUAUUGGGCGUAAAGAGCGUGUAGGCGGCCUGGCAAGUCCGCUGUGAAAACUCGAGGCUCAACCUCGAGACGUCGGUGGAAACUGCCUGGCUAGAGUCCGGAAGAGGAGAGUGGAAUUCCUGGUGUAGCGGUGAAAUGCGCAGAUAUCAGGAAGAACACCCGUGGCUAAGGCGGCUCUCUAGUACGGUACUGACGCUGAGACGCGAAAGCGUGGGGAGCGAACAGG